rnacentral:rRNA from 1 species
CCUAGUUGAUUCUGCUAGUAGUUAUAUACUUAUCUUAAAGAUUAAGCUAUGCAUGUCUAAGUAUAAGCAAUUAUACCGUGAAACUAUAAAUAGCUUAUUAAAUCAGUUAUCGUUUAUUUAAUAGUACCUUACUACUUAGAUAACUGUGGUAAUUCUAGAGCUAAUACAUGCUAAAAACCCUAACUUUGAAAGGGGUGUAUUUAUUAGAUAAAAAACCAACGCCCUUUAGGGCUUCUUAGUAAUUCAUAAUAACUUUACAGAUUACAUGGCCUUGCGCUAGUAACAGUUCAUUUAAAUUUCUGCCCUAUUAACUUUUAAUAGUAAGGUAUUAGCUUACUAUAGUUUUAACAGGUAACAGGGAAUUAGGGUUUAAUUCUAGAGAGGGAGCCUAAGAAAUAGCUACUAUAUCUAAGGAAGGUAGCAGGCGCGCAAAUUACCUAAUCCUAAUAUAGGGAGGUAGUAACAAUAAAUACUAAUAUAGGGCUCUUUUAGGUCUUAUAAUUAGAAUGAGUACAAUUUAAACCUCUUAACAAGGAACAAUUAGAGGGCAAGUCUAGUGCUAGCAGCUGUAGUAAUUCCAGCUUUAAUAGCGUAUAUUAAAGUUGUUACAGUUAAAAAGCUUAUAGUUAAAACUUAGGUCUAGCUAGUAGGUCCGCCUUACUGCGUGUACUUGUCCAGCUAGGCCUUCCUUCUAGAGAACCUCAUGCCCUUUACUAGGCGUGUUAGGGACUAGGACUUUUACUUUAAAAAAAUUAGAGUAUUUAAAGCAGGCCUUUACUUAAAUACGUUAGUAUAGAAUAAUAGAAUAGGACGUAUAGUCCUAUUUUAUUAGUUUCUAGGACUACUAUNNNNNNNNNNNNNNNNNNNNGACUAACUACUGCAAAAGCAUUUACUAAGGAUGUUUUCAUUAAUUAGUAAAUAAAAGUUAGGGGAUUAAAGACAAUUAGAUACCGUCGUAGUCUUAACUAUAAACUAUGCUAACUAGGGAUUAGGCGAUGUUCUUUUUCUAACUCGCUCAGCACCUUACGAGAAAUUAAAGUUUUUAGGUUCUAGGGGGAGUAUAGUUAUAAGGCUAAAACUUAAAGAAAUUAACAGAAGGGCACUACUAGGCGUAGAGCCUACAGCUUAAUUUAACUUAACACGGGGAAACUUACUAGGUCUAGAUAAAAUAAGGAUUAACAGAUUAAGAGCUCUUUCUUAAUUUUUCAGGUGGUAGUACAUAGCUGUUCUUAGUUAGUAGAGUAAUUUGUCUGCUUAAUUAUAAUAACAAACAAGACCUUAACCUACUAAAUAGCCAGGCUAGCUUUAGCUAGUUGCUAGCUUCUUAGAGGGACUAUCAGCUUAAGCUAAUAGAAGUUUAAGGCAAUAACAGGUCUGUAAUGCCCUUAGAUAUUCUAGGCCGCACGCGCGCUACACUAACAGAGCUAACAAGUUCUUUACCUUAACUAAAAGGUCUAGGUAAUCUUGUUAAACUCUAUCGUGCUAGGGAUAGAGCAUUGCAAUUAUUACUCUUUAACAAGGAAUGCCUAGUAAGCGCGUGUUAUUAGCAUGCGUUAAUUACGUCCCUGCCCUUUAUACACACUGCCCGUUACUACUACUAAUUAAAUAGCUUAGUAAGGCCUUUAGACUAGCUUAGGGAGGUUAGCAAUAACUAUCCUAAGCUAGAAAGUUUAUUAAACUUAGUUAUUUAGAGGAAGUAAAAGUCGUAAUAAGGUUUCCGUAGGUAAACCUGCAGAAG